CUACAGUUCUGCGAUGCGGCCACGCGCUUCUUAAAAUCCAAAACACGUUGUUUUCUGUUAAGGUACGGUUUCCAAGUCGCGACCUGUCGUUGAUGCGUGUUGGUUUCCUACGCACGACUGGUCGCCGAGACCAGUCUCCAGUGAUGUAAAGAAAACCGUCUAAUUCUGUAUUCAGUAUCAUUGUGAUUUUCGUGCAGUGAGGGCUAGUGUUUUAAAGUUAAAUAACAAUAAUAAAAUAAUGUUACUUCUUCUUGAAGAAGAGUAAAAGGAUGAUGAUUUAUUAAUUACAACACAAUGCGAU